rnacentral:lncRNA from 1 species
UUUCAAACGGCUCGCACACGACGGGGACGGCCUCCUUCAGAAAGCAACACCAACGGGAGGGAGGAGGGGAGUGAAACAAAAUAUGAAAAUGCCCAAAACCAAAGGAAAAAAAACCCCACCCGCCCCAUCCUUCCGCCUGGUCUAGAAGGGAGCACCUCCCGUCAACCUGGGAUUUUCCCCAAACGCUCCGGGGGAACCGUCCGGAUCUACCGGUUGGACGAGGCGAGGCGGCCCUCGCGCCACCCGGGCGGCGUCCGUGGCGGCCUCUCGCGCCCUCCGGCGAGGUCGCGCCGGGUUGGGGAAGCCCAUCCCCGGCCUCGACCCGUGGCUCUACUUCCAAGAGUCACCGGGCCCUCGACGCCGGCCUCGCACCGUGAACGCGCGGCCCAAGCCCCCGCCCCCCAACGGAGCCCCUCGGCCGGGGCUCUUUUCGGGAACCGAGGUCGAUUCAGGUCGCGCACCUCUCCGGGGCAUCCUGCCGUGCUCUACCCUCCGUUCCCCCCCGGCCGACGUGGAGCCGACGGCUACCGGGGCUCAGCCCGGCCUGCCCACGCGCCGUUAGCGAGCGGCCUCCCGGAGGCCCGGCGCUCCCGGAGGGGGGGCUUCGGGUUCCUUCUGGCGGCCCGCUCGGGGGCCCUCGGAGGUGGUGGCCGGCUCCCGGCCCCGGCCGAGGCCCCGGCUCGGCGGCGCUUCCCGGACCCACGACCCGGCGGGGGCGGCCGCCUCGGGGGCUCCUCGGCCCUACCGCCGUCCCCUCCGCCCGCCGGCUCCCUCCUUCGGUCCCCCCGGCCCCGCGCGUUAGAGCCGGGGGCCCUGCACUCACCAGGCCUCGGCGGAGUCCCGCGGCGACGUGGGGAGGACGGGGGAAGGGGAGCGAGGAGGAGGCGGCGGACAGCGCCGCUAGGCUUCUCAAUCAACUUUAUUAGUAGCCCCGCCACGGACACGGGCCGCCGGCGCUCGCUCACUCGCUCCCCUGACCGACCGGCCGGCCGACCGGCGAGGAGGACCCGGAUGGUGGUGGUUGGAAGGGGCGGGAAAACCAAGCCGGGGGAAGCGGUCCCAGACGCCCGCAGAGCCGUAGGGCUUCGGCGCAUGCGCCCCCACCCUCCGCGCUCGGGCGCGCCGAAAAGAGCUCGCCGAGGCGGCGGAAGGCGGAGGCCGCUAGCGGACCGCCCGGUUUCCGCACAUUUCUGGGAGGCCGGCCGGGCCGCCACCGGGCCGCCACCGGGCCGGGGAGUCGGAGGUCAUCCGUUCGAAUCCCGGCUCUGCCGCUGGUCAGCUGGAGGAGGACUUUGGGCAAGUCGCUUCACUUCUCUGGGCCUCAGUUACCUCAUCUGGAAAGUGGGUAUGAAUAAUAAUAUUGGUAUUUGUUAA